rnacentral:rRNA from 1 species
GGGAGAUCGGAAUUCCUGGUGUAGCGGUGAAAUGCGCAGAUAUCAGGAGGAACACCGGUUGCGAAGGCGGAUCUCUGGGCCAUUACUGACGCUGAGGAGCGAAAGCGUGGGGAGCGAACAGGAUUAGAUACCCUGGUAGUCCACGCCGUAAACGUUGGGCACUAGGUGUGGGUCACAUUCCACGUGGUCCGCGCCGCAGCUAACGCAUUAAGUGCCCCGCCUGGGGAGUACGGCCGCAAGGCUAAAACUCAAAGGAAUUGACGGGGGCCCGCACAAGCAGCGGAGCAUGUGGCUUAAUUCGACGCAACGCGAAGAACCUUACCAAGGCUUGACAUACGCCGGAAAACCGUAGAGAUACGGUCCCCCUUGUGGUCGGUGUACAGGUGGUGCAUGGUUGUCGUCAGCUCGUGUCGUGAGAUGUUGGGUUAAGUCCCGCAACGAGCGCAACCCUCGUUCUGUGUUGCCAGCGGGUCAUGCCGGGGACUCACAGGAGACUGCCGGGGUCAACUCGGAGGAAGGUGGGGAUGACGUCAAAUCAUCAUGCCCCUUAUGUCUUGGGCUGCACACGUGCUACAAUGGCCGGUACAAUGAGCUGCGAUGCCGUGAGGUGGAGCGAAUCUCAAAAAGCCGGUCUCAGUUCGGAUUGGGGUCUGCAACUCGACCCCAUGAAGUCGGAGUUGCUAGUAAUCGCAGAUCAGCAUUGCUGCGGUGAAUACGUUCCCGGGCCUUGUACACACCGCCCGUCACGUCACGAAAGUCGGUAACACCCGAA